rnacentral:rRNA from 1 species
UACGGGGGGUGCGAGCGUUGUCCGGAAUUACUGGGCGUAAAGGGCUCGUAGGCGGCCAACUAAGUCACACGUGAAAUCCCCAGGCUUAACCUGGGAACUGCGUGUGAUACUGGAUGGCUUGAAUUCGGGAGAGGGAUGCAGAAUUCCAGGUGUAGCGGUGAAAUGCGUAGAUAUCUGGAGGAAUACCGGUGGCGAAGGCGGCAUCCUGGACCGACAUUGACGCUGAGGAGCGAAAGCUAGGGGAGCAAACGGG